rnacentral:rRNA from 1 species
AGUCAAUAGAUACCCGGGUAGUCCAUGCCGUAAACGAUGAUUGCUAGGUGUGGGGGGUCUGACCCCUUCCGUGCCGGAGUUAAACACAAAUAAGCAAUCCACCUGGGGAGUACGGCCGCAAGGUUGAAACUCAAAGGAAUUGACGGGGGCCCGCACAAGCAGUGGAGUAUGUGGUUUAAUUCGAAGCAACGCGAAGAACCUUACCAGGUCUUGACAUCCACCGAAUCCUGUAGAGAUACGGGAGUGCCCUUCGGGAACGGUGAGACAGGUGGUGCAUGGUUGUCGUCAGCUCGUGUCGUGAGAUGUUGGGUUAAGUCCCGCAACGAGCGCAACCCUUGUGAAUAGUUGCUACGAAAGAGCACUCUAUUCAGACCGCCGUUGACAAAACGGAGGAAGGUGGGGAUGACGUCAAAUCAUCAUGCCCCUUAUGACCUGGGCUACACACGUACUACAAUGGCCGUUAACAGAGGGAUGCAAUGCCGCGAGGUGAGCGACCCUAAAAACGGCUCAGUUCAGAUUGCAGGCUGAAACUCG